CAAAGUGCUGGGAUUACGGGCAUGAGCCACUGCACUCGGCCGUCUCUGUCACUUUUAAAAAUGACACCUGGGACCUUGACAGGCUGUAGCCCUGAGGCAAGUGCCAUACCUUUAGAUGGUCUCCAGUUCUAGGUUCUACUAAAAGAAGACCUGAUAAAGUGGCUAUAUUUUAAAUUCUGGAAAGCCUGGCCACCCCACGAAGUCCCUGGUGAAAUCUGCAUGUCACUUAGGUUGGCAAUGCCUGCGCCCUCCCUAGUGGUGCCAGCAAGGCAGUCAUUUCUCUAACCUACCAGCUGCUCCUGUGAAAAGGGAGCAUUCAGUGCAGAAAACUAGGAGGGAAAGGAACUCACCUCCACUUCCUGGGUGCUGAUGAAAGAUGCUGACAUCUCCCCUUCCUCUAGGUGCAGAGGGUGCAGGCCCAUUUCACAAUGGGGAAGACUGAUGCUCAGAGAAUAGCCAGUAUGCUUGAUCAUACCGGUGGCAUGUGGCAGAGAAGGCUGAAGUCCAGGUUCUACUGUUGGCAAAGCUUGGGCCCUUUCCACUCUGCUGUGCCUUCCUCACCUCCACAGUGACCUGGACAUGAAAGGCCCUCUUGGAUGAACUGGUAGUGUCACUGGCAGCAGCUGCUAGGCUACCAGGCUGGGCUGGCUUGCCAUCCUGGCUUCCCCACUGGCCGGCACAGAUCUUCACGGAUUGCAGCAUUCAGGACCUGAGUCCAUGCCCAUGCAGAGGCCCAUUGCAGUGUUUGCUUAGCAUAGCUGCAUUUCCAGAAUGUAGGCAGGAGAAGCUGUAAAAGAUUCUCACCCUGCCAUGCACACUGAUGGCUCACAUUCUAAAGAGUCAGCUGGAAGGGCCCUGGUGCGCCCACAUCCCUCUCCAGAGAGUUCUGUCUGGUGAUUUGCACACGUGAGGCCAGGAGAAUUGCCAUGAGUCAUUUUGGAUUUGGGCUGACCUGGUAGACUUCUGAAAGACAGUGCUCUGGGUUCAAGUUGUCCUCAGGGCUGGAUGAUCCAUAGCAAAUAUCCCCUGAUGGAUAAGCAUUGUGCUGAGAGACUUGCCUCCAUCAGCUGUGUAAACCUCAGGAUGACCUGCACACAGGUAUACUAAGGCACACAGAGACCAGCUCGUAGUCAGUGACAAGUAACUUGCCAAGAGCUGUGGUUUAAAAGCAUGUCUGCAAAUUCUUGGACACUCUUGUCAUCCAGAAAUAGAGUCUAACCCUCCUCCCUUGAAUACGGGCUGGCUUCAGUGGUGGAAAUGACAAUGUGUGAGUUUGAGGUUUGAUUAGAAAAGAUGACACAGCCUCUGCCUGACUCUCAAGGCCCUUGUUCUUGGACAUUAGCUGCCAUGCUGGGAGGAAGCCCAGCAGCCACACAGAGAGGCCACGACAGCCGAGGUCCCAGCCAAGCCAGCAUCAACUGCCCAACACGUCAAUGAGUGAUCCUGCAGAGCCUCCCAUCUCCUAGCCACCGCAGCUGAUGCUCUGAGAGCGGAGGCAAGCUGUCCUUGCUGGGCGCUGCUUAAACUGCAGAUGUAUGAACAAAAUAAAAAUGGUGGUUAUUUUAAGACA
ensembl:lncRNA LINC03062 long intergenic non-protein coding RNA 3062